CGGACAUUGUGUUUGAUUAUCGCCAGAAGGUCACGAGAUCGUUUGAGCAUCUUCAAGGAGAUUAUUUCAUUGCUUCUGUUUUCAUGCUUUGGAUUUUUAUGAAGCUGUAAGAUCACAGACAUAUGAUGGGGCCAUAUCUAAGUGGGUUGAUGAUAUUGGAG